rnacentral:rRNA from 1 species
AACGAACGCUGGCGGCAUGCCUAACACAUGCAAGUCGAACGAGACCUUCGGGUCUAGUGGCGCACGGGUGCGUAACGCGUGGGAACCUUCCCUUAUGUUCGGAAUAACUCUCCGACAGGGGUGCUAAUACCGGAUAAUGUCUUCGGACCAAAGAUUUAUCGCCUUUGGAUGGGCCCGCGUUGGAUUAGCUAGUUGGUAGGGUAAAAGGCUACCAAGGCGACAAUCCAUAGCUGGGAUGAGAGGAUGGUCAGCCACACUGGGACUGAGAAACGGCCCAGACUCCUACGGGAGGCAGCAGUGGGGGAUAUUGGACAAUGGGCGGAAGGCCGAUGCAGCAAUGCCGGGUGAGUGAUGAAGGCCUUAGGGUUGUAAAGCUCUUUUACCCGGGAUGAUAAUGACAGUACCGGGAGAAUAAGCUCCGGCUAACUACGUG